UACGAGUUUAGUCACGAGUUCGGUUAAAGGCCAAACUCCUCGAGUCACGAGUGAGGACACGCGCGCCUACUGGAGCGUAUGUAAUCGUCGGCGACUCCAAGCGGAAGAAUCGCCUCCUCCCUUCGACGUCGGCGAGUCUCCUCUUCCCAUGUCGGAUCGCGAGGCGGAAAACGUCGGCGCCCUCGUGCGCCACCUCUCGCGCCUCCUCCAUCCCAAAAUCUCCGACGUCCUGGCCCACGCCGUCCACCACAAGGUGCUUCUCUGGUCUCGCAAGGAGGCUUGUCUGUUGGACCGGCCGUUGAAGGACGCCAAUGUGGUCCAAACUGUUGCGUCUGCUGUUGAGGAUGAAUUCAAGUUUGGCUUUGGGUUUUGGAAUCUUCGAUGACUGUCUCUAAUUUUUUUUUUCUUUAUUUUGAACUAUCGUAGUUGACUCUCUGACAGAUCGUGAGGAAUAGACUUGGUGGUUGCCGAAGGGUAGGGAAUCAGAAUAGAUGAAAUCGUUCUACAUUUUUGUUGUUUACUUCAGAACCACUUUUCCUUUUUGGUUGUAUUCACCUACCUAUAUGCUCGAUUUCAGUCUACAAGUAAUCUAGGCUGUAAUGUGCAGAUAAAUAUACAGUUUAGGUGGAUCUAACUUGGGCAUCCUGUGGCUUUA